rnacentral:rRNA from 1 species
UACGUAGGGUGCGAGCGUUAAUCGGAAUUACUGGGCGUAAAGCGUGCGCAGGCGGUUUUGUAAGCCAGAUGUGAAAGCCCCGGGCUUAACCUGGGAAUGGCAUUUGGGACUGCAAGGCUGGAGUUUGGCAGAGGAGACUGGAAUUCCUGGUGUAGCAGUGAAAUGCGUAGAUAUCUGGAGGAACACCGGUGGCGAAGGCGGCAUCCUGGACCGGCAUUGACGCUGAGGCGCGAAAGCUAGGGGAGCAAACGGG